AUACCUACGGGGCGCAGCAGUGGGGGAUAUUGGACAAUGGGGGAAACCCUGAUCCAGCGAUGCCGCGUGAGGGAAGAAGGUUUUCGGAUUGUAAACCUCUGUGGACAGGGACGAUAAUGACGGUACCUGUCAAGAAAGCCACGGCUAACUACGUGCCAGCAGCCGCGGUAAUACGUAGGGGGCAAGCGUUAUCCGGAUUUACUGGGUGUAAAGGGAGCGUAGGUGGCAGGGCAAGUCAGAUGUGAAAACCCGGGGCUCAACUCCGGGAGUGCAUUUGAAACUGUCCAGCUAGAGUGCAGGAGAGG
rnacentral:rRNA from 1 species